CUUCCAGUAGCACCUUAGAGACCAACUAAGUUUGUUAUUGGUAUGAGUUUUCGUGUGCAUGCACACUUCUUCACGAAAGCUCAUACCAAUAACAAACUUAGAUGGUCUCUAAGGUGCUACUGGAAG